CCUACGGGUGGCAGCAGUGAGGAAUAUUGGUCAAUGGACGAGAGUCUGAACCAGCCAAGUAGCGUGAAGGAUGACUGCCCUAUGGGUUGUAAACUUCUUUUAUAUGGGAAUAAAACGUUCCACGUGUGGGAUUUUGUAUGUACCAUAUGAAUAAGGAUCGGCUAACUCCGUGCCAGCAGCCGCGGUAAUACGGAGGAUCCGAGCGUUAUCCGGAUUUAUUGGGUUUAAAGGGAGCGUAGGUGGAGUGUUAAGUCAGUUGUGAAAGUGUGCGGCUCAACCGUAAAAUUGCAGUUGAAACUGGCAGUCUUGAGUACAGUAGAGGUGGGCGGAAGUCGUGGUGUAGCGGUGAAAUGCUUAGAUAUCACGAAGAACUCCGAUUGCGAAGGCAGUUCACUGGACUGCAACUGACACUGAGGCUCGAAAGUGUGGGUAUCAAACAGGAUUAGAUACCCGGGUAGUC
rnacentral:rRNA from 1 species